rnacentral:rRNA from 1 species
AGCGAACGCUGGCGGCAGGCCUAACACAUGCAAGUCGAACGAAGUCUUCGGACUUAGUGGCGGACGGGUGAGUAACACGUGGGAACGUGCCUUUAGGUUCGGAAUAGCUCAGGGAAACUUGUGCUAAUACCGAAUGUGCCCUUCGGGGGAAAGAUUUAUCGCCUUUAGGGCGGCCCGCGUCUGAUUAGCUAGUUGGUGAGGUAAUGGCUCACCAAGGCUACGAUCAGUAGCUGGUCUGAGAGGAUGACCAGCCACAUUGGGACUGAGACACGGCCCAAACUCCUACGGGAGGCAGCAGUGGGGAAUCUUGCGCAAUGGGCGAAAGCCUGACGCAGCCAUGCCGCGUGGAUGAUGAAGGUCUUAGGAUUGUAAAAUCCUUUCACCGGUGAAGAUAAUGACUGUAGCCGGAGAAGAAGCCCCGGCUAACUUCGUGCCAGCAGCCGCCGUAAGAC